GGAAGAACUAGAGCAAGUCCUCCACGAAUAAGGCUUAUGUGGUUACAAGAUCUUCGAGAGGAUAAACACUAUGUGGCUGAUCGCACAAGAUUGUUUCCUGCGACCACUGCUCAGCUUCACGUACAAAUGUGACUAGCGGGUCAAGUUCCAUAAGGAGGUGGAAGCAGAAGAAGAAUUGGCGUCACCCUUCAGUUUUUCAACCAAAAGGAGGCAACCUUGAUAAAUGAUUUACACAAGCUUCUCUGUUUUGUAUCUCUGAAAUUUGAGUUCUUUGACACAAAUAUCCUUAGGUGGACACAAAAUUUUGACCCCAACAUCCAAUUUAAUUAAUUCAACUUUGGUACUAUGAAUUGGGACCCGACAAUCCAUCAUAUGCUGCCAAGUUCUACGACUUUUGUGGGGCUGAGGAUCCUGAGGCGUCCAGCUGCACUACCAGUUUCCAUGUUUCUAUGAUGACGAUUGAUCCAUAUUUUCAGUUUUUAAACAAUAAGAUAAUGUAACCAUUCAGACUCCAGAGUGCUUUGUCAUUAAGCCGCGUGAAGGAUCGGACUAUUCAAGCUUCGCAAGUUAAUUCAAAGGCCUUAAUCACUAUAUAAGGUGAGAAAGGGAUCAUCGAUCUGAAAUGAGCUUUUUAUGUCAGGACGACACACCUAUUGGGGCAAUGUUGGGAUGUUUAGGUUUGGGUGGGGACGUGGACUUAUGGAAGAGGUGAAGUAGCUUAGCUCUCUGUCAUUAACUUUAUCUGUUCUAUGCAUCUCUACAAUCUUACAAUGCUCUUUUAUUAAAUUGCAAGAUGUUGGGACCGGUUACUAGAAUACGAGAUUUGGAACAAAAGUGGUUGACAAUGCAAGAGUCGAAACCAAGUGUGAAAUUCACAUUGAAAAUGACAGGAGAUGGUUGUGCAUGAUCUGUAGAAUCACAAUUAAAGGAUCUAUCUUGCAAGAGAACGGAGAAUUAGAUGGAGAUCUCAACCAUAGAAUACAAGCUGGAUGGAUGAAGUGUAAGAGUGCAUCCGGCGUGUUGUGUGACCGUCGUAGGCCACUGAAGCUUAAGGGAAAAUUUUAUAGGACGACAAUAAGGCCAGCGAUGUUGUAUGGCAUAGAAUGUUGGGCGGUGAAGCAUCAACACGUACACAAAAUGGGUGUAGCGGAGAUGAAGAUGCUUCGUGGGAUGUAUGGGCACACGAUAAAGGAUAAGAUUGGGAAUGAGGAUAUCCGAGGUAAAGUAGGAGUAGCCAAAAUUGAAGGAAAUAUGAGAGAAAAUAGGUUCCGGUGGUUUGGACAUGUGCAAAG
rnacentral:sRNA from 1 species